AGGAAGAAAAUCUUCCCAUGAACCAAAUGAGUCCAAAGUGUUUCCAAGACCAGGAUGGUCUUUUGAGCGAAAGGCCUUCCCUGUUCUAUCAUGACGAACACAUAAUAAUUUGGCUUCCCUGCUUACAAACUUGUUGCACCAUGCUUUAAGUCAUAGGUGCAGGGAAUUUAAGCAAGCAAAAACCUCGUCACACCCCUAAAGCCUGCUUCAACGAUGUCCAGCAGCCAAUUUAAGGACACACCAUAUGGCCCAUGCCUCCAUCUGUGGAUUUAAUUAAGCGCACAACCUAGCAGCAGCUCCUAUGAUUGCCAACUAUUAUAUAACCCAUGAAGGGCAUCUGUCCAAUGGCAAAAAAUAGAAUUUCAAUCAACAGUUCCAACAGCAGGAAUAUGUUCCAAACUAGCGCAGUUGAAAGUUCAAACACUCCAAUCUAAUUUGGGCUGCAGGGUGACACAUAGCAAUAUAACCACAACUUAUUUUGAUCCACUUAGCUUAAAUCUAGAUAUAAAAUACAAAUAUAUUUCCAAUCUCAUUAUUCAAACAGGAAAACCUAACCAGAGACAUUGUGAAGGACCAAAGUGGAAAAAGCUUUAAGGGCAAUUUCUGAGAUGCUCUAUUUGCUGUUUUCUUACUGGUGAGUUGGAAAGGUUGGUUGUAGAAAUUGAGGGUCAAUGAUUGCACAAGAGAAAUAAACUUAGAAGAACUACAACUAAGACACAUGCAUUUGCAGCACCCUAUAUUAACAUAGCUCAAAUAGAUGCCAUUUUGAAAGAAAGGAUGCAAGCAUAAAGUGAUACUGCCAUGAAAUACUAAAAGAAUAAAAAAUCAUAAGAGAUUUUGACUUAAUUUGGUUACCUAUCAUAUUGAAUGAGAUGAUGAAAAUGUCAAAUGAAUAGAGAUGUAUCAUGGGCGCUAAAUUAUAAGAAUUGUGAUGUAUAAAAUUAUAUCUAAAUUAUGCAUUUGCUAGAGAAAAUCUUGUAAAAAAAGUUGUCAGAAAUAUAUGAGAACUAAUCUUGCAUAUACCAGAAGGGUCAAUAAUUGAGGUUACUUCAUGCUUAGGCAACCAUUAGAAACAUUUAAAGAAGAAUACUUGCAUGAUACACAUAGUUCUAUGGACUUAAAAGUAUCACAUAAGAGAACAGCAUGAGGAAUAUAAUAUGCAUUACCAAACAAGAUGCAUCAAACAGUAUGUUAAGAUUAUUAAGAAGGACGUUUAAGGGAAAAAAAAGCCAGUCUUAUGACAGAGUGAAAUGAAUGAAUCGCCACUUCAGAUGGGACUGAAUUAAGUGUCAACCUUAAGGCCUUUCCUCUUUGCAUUUACCAAAAAAUGGACUGGUUAUUAAUAUUAGGAGCAUCUACAUAAACUUUGCAUGAUAUAUGAAUGAUAUGGUGAACAAAUGGGACAAAAGUCAGGUUAUGCACUGAGAAUCAAGGAGAAUGAGCAAUCUCUGCAAAGCCAUAAAACUUGAUGACCAAAACAGACACCAGUGAGAUCAUUUCUGCUAACACAAACUGGCUGAAGAAGGAUAAUGAGAUAGAGAAAGGUGUAAAUAGCAGAAUCAGAGCGGAUAGUUGAAUGGCAGACAACUGUGACAGUCACAUGACUUUGAGAUCAAGAAAAAAUUUCUAGAAGAUUAUAUGAUUGGCAAUGAGAUUAUAAGGUUUGCAAUGAAGACUUUAAGUUGGGUAAUGCUCAAUAUAUCAAAAAACAAGAACAGCGAAUCUUAGCAUGAGAAGGUUACGGCCAGGACAGAGUACAAGUGUAUCUUAGCAUGGGCAUGAAUGCACAAAUAAAAGAUAGCUGUUAGAAUGGGCAUCACAGAAUUUGAAUUACCAAGCAGCUUUUAAAAAAGGUCAGCAUUGAAAGAAGAGAGAAAAUGGGGAACAUGAAAGACAGAUAUAGAAGAGGCCAGAGAUAAAUCGCCCCAGACAGAUAUCACAAAACUAAGAACAUGAAUAAAGGCAAGAACGCAGAGGAAGGCAAACCCAAAUGCGGAACAGAGAGGCAUCACAAGCCUCAACAAGAGCAAUUCCAGAAACCAGGAGAUACCAAAAGACUAUGAAACAAGAUGCAGCAGAGGAUGCAGAGCCCUCAACCCUCACAUAUAAAGGGAGGUGCCAUAGAUAUCAACAAGCAAAAGAGUAAACCAGGAUGUUUCAGAGAAGGUAGAUGUGUAUUCACUUAAGUUGUGGUGAGUUGAAAAUGAUUUAAUCAAAUGUUCUUUCUAGAUUUGACUUUGGUAAGCAUCAAAUAUGAUUUAAUCAUCCAUGUCCAUGCAAAGUUGGGACAGACACCACUCCAUAUUAUUCUUCUAAAUUAUAAGGCUUAUGCAGGUGUCAGGUGCUUGAUGCCAACAAGGUGUUAUUGAAGAGAUAAAGGAUUUGAAAGCUUAUUACCUAUGAUGAAAAUCUAGAAAUCUUAUUACACCAAUGAAAGUGUCAGCAAGAGAAACAAUAUUUAGAGUUUAGAACAUGAGUAACUUGGUUGCAUAAAUAUAAGUGUCUGAUGAAAAGGCACAAGGCAAAUAUCUCAUUAUUUCUUGACAACAUAGUUUUUCUUUCACCCAAAAGCUAAUAGCAAUGUCCAAUAUAAUGAUUUACCCAAUAUAGUUCCCUAUGGGACGAGGAGUAGUCAGAAUGAGUGGAAUGUUUUUUAACCUACCUAGCCACGUGUAGGUUGACACAAGUAAUGAUGAGCAAAUGAAAGUGCUGGACCUAUCUAGAUUUCCUCAUAAAACUUUGGCAGAAAUUAGUCAGAUCUAACAUGAAAACUGUAAUUAGCCACUAAUUUUGGACUAAUUAAAAUGGUAAGAGAUACAUUAAAUUAAAUAGGUAUAUAUUAAUUUUGUUAUCGACCAGGUUCACCCUAAUUCAGCCAACUGGUAUGAGUUUGAAACAGUAGAAAAACCCACAAAGGCCUUGUGUGAAACCAAAAACACAAUGCACAUAGACAACAGUGACAAUUAGCAAAAUACAACGGAGUUUGUAACUGGGAAAAAAGACAAGUGAAAAAAAUAGUGAAACCCCAUGCAAUGAUUCCUCCUACCUAAAAGACAAAGUCAAAUAAAUGUGGUGGAUCAUGCAAAAACUGAAUGAAAAGGGAAACUCAGAAAAAGGCUACCUUUUUUUUCCUUUCCUUCCUUUUUUUUCCAGAAAAUGGUGACUGAGAACAAAAGUGCUACAAAAAAUGCAGCAACAAGAAAAACAAAGGCGCUUUUCUUUUGAGAAAAAAGGAGGAGCAAAAGCCCUACUAGACUAUUUAUUAAGCAAAUAAAAAGUUGUACGAUAAAAAUAACAAAAGAAGAUAUUUCCUUGAUGCAUAAGGAACCAAGCAGGCACAAAACACAACAUUUCAAUUCACAGGAUUCAACAGAAACACUAUUUUUUUGGGGUACAAAUAGAAAUACUAUUUCAUCCAAGACAUUUAAUAAAGAAAUGAUACGCUAACAGCAUCAUUACAAGAUAUGACAAAUUAACACUGCUGAAAUUCCCAAUAUAUCAAAGACCUAUAAGUCAAGUGCAUCUCAUGUUCAACAAUCAUCCAAAAUAAAGAAAUAAUGAUAAUGGUAGUUCAAAUCCUUAACCCAGCUUCGCUGACAACACAUCCCAAAAGUCAAAACUAAAUCUACCGACAUUUUAACAUACUGUCAAACAUCAAAACCGAAACCCUAACUCACAGAAUGGAAGAGGUGACAGUAAGGCAGUUUUGUUUAGACUUUCAGCUUCAUCAAUCAGCAAAGAUCGCCAUAAAUAUUCUAAAACUCUCACAUUGUCCAAAUAGAUAAUAUCGCACAGUUUUCAGGCAAAAAGGCCGCAGACACGAGAUGGCUCAAAAUAAAACCUAACUUUUGAUUAAAAAAAAAAUCACCAGCACAAGUUGAACCUUUUGAUCAUUUCCAAGUAGCCACAGGAAAAGCAACCUCAAUAAAAUGAUCCAACAAAAAAAAAAGAAAAAAAAAAGAAGAAAGAAGUGAUGACCGAUAAAAGGCGAUAACCUCAUGUAGGUCAAAUGAUUCCCAUAUGAAGAACAUCUAACAGCUCCCAGCAGGCAAUCAAGAAUCUCGAUAUAAUGUAGAACAGAAUAUUAAUUCGUAUUUAACCGACAAAUUUAUGAAAUUAACCAAGAUCCAUACAAGUGAGAUUAACAAAGAAAAUUUCCUCCAUGGAGAGCGAAUAAAUCCAAGGUAUAAAAAUCAUAAUAUGAACGCAUUGAGAUAAACCCCAAAGAAUCGUAUGUGUUAGCACUUGAUCGAUGCCUUCCGCUGCCUGGCUUAACCCUGUCUGCCGUCUAUGUACACCGCACUCGACAGGCGAGGAGAUCCCGUAGGUUCGACUCGGGGAUCUACGGCGAGAGAGGAGGGAGAUGAUGGGGCCGCGGAGGGGCGCCACCGCCGCUGGAUCGGCGGAGGCUGGCCGAGAUCGGGAGGGGGUUUGGAGGGUCGACGACGGAACCCUCGGCCGCCAUGGGUGAAGAGAGAGGAUGGACAAGUUUUGGGGAGGGGGAAAAGGGCUCGGGUCCUUUUUUCCGGCCUUUUCUGAUUUCUGUGUUUUCUUUUUU
rnacentral:lncRNA from 1 species